UUAUGGUAGCUUGUUCCUUUUGGCGCUCUCCCCAUCUCCGGUUCUCUGCAACAGGGCGUUGGAAUGAGGGAUGCACCUGUCCUGAGGGUUCCGGGCCUUUGGGGGGAGCAACCACGUGCUCUCGUAGACUGGGGUUUCGCGGGGAUAAUGGCGACACUUUGUGGGUACCUGGCCGGUGGCAGUUCCUACUGCUAGGGCGAACAUGGGAGUGGGGAGUUGUCCUGGGCACUGGCCUUUAGUCUGCGCCGCAGUCGGGCCUCGCGGUUUCUACUUCCCGGGUCGCUGUCUCCGCCAUCUUGAUUUUUCUGGGCGCGGGAGGGGAAGGGGCGGUAAGGUCUUUCUGAGGUUCCCUACUCGCUUAUUAGCUGCGUGCGCUUUCUAUAGGAAGUAGCUCGAUUUUUUCAAUUCUGGGCAGCUGGCAUUGUUGUGCGACCCUGGACACAGACUAUGGGGGAUGGGAGGGGAAGCGGUGUUGCAGUUUGUAUAGGUGCAGAGACGGGGUAUGGAGUCAGAAAAAAAGUGGGAGUGAGGUGGUUCUAAAUAAACUGUUGGCUUGUUUCUGAGAGCCAGAUAGGAAUGGGUCUAGGAGAAAACAAGCCUUUGUCCACAUGCAGGAAUGAUUCUGACAGUUAAAUCCUAACUGUAGGCAGUGGCCUCGUUACAGACGACUCGCCUGAAGGCGUACGUAACCAAGGAGCUCCCCAUGCUCAUUGUCUCAUUGAAGUGGGAUUUGCUUAACUUGAGGGGUGUGUCUUCAAGCUCGGGCCUCCUUCCACACUCCAUCAUGGUGACUCCUCCAGGUGCUGUAUGGCCCAGCCAUCACUCUGGCUGCAUCCCUCUGGGCUCUUGGCUGUCCCCUGCCUUGGAGCAGCAGAGGCCAUGGCUGUGAAUGCUGGCACCAACCUAGGUGGCCAGGGGACCAGUUCUACACAUUCUGCAUGUUCUCCACAUACACCAAGCUUCAAGGAGAACCCCAGACAGCUCAUGAUAAUCUGUAUCCUGCAGGGGCAUGAUGGGGAACCAUGCCCUGUCCCUAAAUUCCAGGGAGCUGGUGCUACUAACCUGACUUGUGACUCUUGUCUUCAACUACCACCUCAAGGUCCCAGAGGGGACCUGGUGCCAGCGCUGAGUCCUUCCUGCCCCUUGGCCCUGGACUACCAGGGAGGAGAGUGUCCAGCUAGAUCUGUCAUGAGCCACUCUUAGCCCCCUCAUCUCUUGUCCCCCUGUCCCAAGCUGCCUGAUGAUACCCUUUUUACUCAGUUGCAGCUCUUACUAGUCAGCCUGCUAGUCAAGGUACAGGAGAGCUCAAAGCCAUCACCAGAGGCCUGGUGGAGCCAGGCUGCACCAGGCUCAGGCUGGCUCCUCUGGCACUAUGUGCAGGGAGGAGGGUCCUGGAGCUGUUCAAGGAAGAGGGACAAACCCCACGUCAGGUGACCAGGCCCAAGGGAGGAGCUGCACACAGCACAGCCAGGGCUGGGAGGCCAAGUUCCAGUCGAGUUGGGGCCAAGCAAGUCAGUACCUUGCUUGUGGGUGAGCCAUAGACAGACAUGUUCAAAAGCCCUAGAAGAAGGAUGUCCUUGAUUGCACCUACCCCUGUGGAUUUCACUGGCCAGAGCCAAUGGGAGGAACAAGCACUGUUGGCCAUUUAUUGCAAGUCUGUGGGUGCAGAAAUUUUGCGCAGAAUUUUUUUAAAGGCUUUUUGUUUGUUUUUGUAGAGUAUUUUUGCUCAAUGCUUUCAGGAUAGGUGCCGCUUGGGAUUUAUUCCUCUUUGUGAAGGUUGUCCUCAUGGCCAAGUUUUGGGGGGUUUUGUUUGCUAUUUAUGGGCAGCCAGUCCCUCCAGGUGGGUCUAGUUUCUCUAGUGGCCCCAGGCCAUUCCGGGCCUGGGUUCAGAGUGUGUUUAGGCAGAGUCACAGAAAAGAACUCCACAAGGGCAGAGCCCUGGUGGUUGUGGCUCUAUAACCCUGGUGCUGGGUGCAUAGGAUCACUCAUUAAAUGGCUGAUGGCA